rnacentral:rRNA from 1 species
UUGAUUCUGGCUCAGAUUGAACGCUGGCGGGAUGUUUACACAUGCAAGUCGAACGGCAGCACGGACUUCGGUCUGGUGGCGAGUGGCAGAACGGUGAGUAAUGUAUCCGGAACGUGCCUAAUAGCGGGGAUAACUACGCGAAAGCGUAGCUAAUACCGCGCCCACGCCCUUCCGGGGAAAGCGGGGGACCUUCGGGCCUCGCACUAUUAGAGCGGCCGAUAUCGGAUUAGCUAGUUGGUGGGGUAACGGCUCACCAAGGCGACGAUCCGUAGCUGGUUUGAGAGGACAUUCAGCCACGCUGGGACGAGACACGGCCCAGACUCCUGCAGGAGGCAGCAGUGGGGAAUUUUGGACGAUGGGGAAACCUGAUCCAGCCAUCCCGCGUGUGCGAUGAAGGCCGGGUUGUAAAGCACUUUUUUGGCAGGAAGAAACGGCCUGGGAUAAUACCCCGUGCAACUGACGGUACCUGCAGAAUAAGCACCGGCUAACUACGUGCCAGCAGCCGCCCGGUAAUACGUAGGGUCUGACGUUAAUCCAGGUCACUGGGCGUAAAGCGUGCGCAGGCGGUUCGGAAAGAAGAUGUGAAAUCCAGAGCUUAACUUUGGAACUGCAUUUUUAACUACCGAGCUAGAGUGUGUCAGAGGAGAGUGGAGUCCGCGUGUAGCGGUGAAAUGCGUAGAUAUGCGGAGGAACACCGAUAGCGAAGGCAGCCUCCUGGGACAACACUGACGCUCAUGCACGAAAGCGUGGGGAGCCAAACGGGAUUAGAUACCCUGGUAGUCCACAGCUAAACGAUGUCAACUUCUAUUUGGGGCCUUCCGGGCCUUGGUAGCGCAACUAACGCGUGAAGUUGACCGCCUGGGGAGUACGGUCGCAAGACAAACUCAAAGGAAUUGACGGGGACCCGCACAAGCGGUGGAUGAUGUGGAUUAAUUCGAUGCAACGCGAAAAACCUUACCUACCCUUGACAUGUCUGGAAUCCCGAAGGGCCCAGGAGUGCUCGCAAGAGAACCGGAACACAGGUGCUGCAUGGCUGUCGUCAGCUCGUGUCAUGAGAUGUUGGGUUAAGUCCACGUGAGCGCAACCCUUGUCAUUAGUUGCUACGAAAGGGCACUCUAAUGAGACUGCCGGUGACAAACCGGAGGAAGGUGGGGAUGACGUCAGAAUCCUCAUGGCCUGGUGGGAGCUUCACACGUCAUACAAUGGUCGGGACAGAGGGUCGCCAACCCGCUGAAGAGGCCAAUCCCGAAGCCCGAUCGUAGUCCGGAUCGCAGUCUGCAACUCGACUGCGUGAAGUCGGAAUCGCUAGUAAUCGCGGAUCAGCAUGUCGCGGUGAAUACGUUCCCGGGUCUUGUACACCGCCCGUCACACCAUGGGAGUGGGUUUUACCAGAAGUAGUUAGCCUAACCGUAAGGAGGGCGAUUACCACGGUAGGAUUCAUGACUGGGGUGAAGUCGUAACAAGGUAA